CUCACUUACUAUGUUACUGUGUUACUAUGUUACUAAAUGACUGUGUUACUAAGUUAUUAUAUAUCUUUCCGCUAGAGCUGUACUUUCCUGGAAGCCUCAGUCUCUCUUCUGGGACAGUUCCCCCUGGGAUUUGCAAGAAAUCUUCCUAUACAAGUACCUGGGGAUCAGCGACUCUGUUUAUUCUCAGUCCCUUGACUUUAUUCUUCAAUCCUAAGCAAGGUGGGUGCCCUCCUAUCUGCAACACUUCAGAGACCAAGAACAAAUCAAAUGUCCCUCCCAGCUAUGCCAGUCUCUUUCUGUAUCAGUAUAAUCCCCAUUGUUUCUGAGAGUCAUUCAACUGACACAUCAUUACCCUUGAAAGGACUAUGAAGCGCCAAGAAUUUCGGUUGGAUUAAAGAAUAUAUUGAAAAUACCAAAGAACAUUUGGCUGAAUGAGUAAUGAACUGUCCAAUGGUUUGAGGGGUGAUGUGCACCUACACCCCAAACUGCAGAGACCCAGGCUCUUCCAAAGACAAAACCAUUCGCUGCAGAUCAUUAGUCUGGA